rnacentral:misc_RNA from 1 species
GAUGUAGAACGUAGCGAAAUGCGAUAAGUAAUGUGAAUUGCAGAAUUCAGUGAAUCAUCGAAUCUUUGAACGCACCUUGCGCCCUUUGGCCAUUCCGAAGGGCAUGCCUGUUUGAGUAUCAUGAACACCUCAACUCUUCAUGGUUUUCCAUGAUGAGCUUGGACUUUGGGGGUCUUGCUGGCCUGUGGGUCGGCUCCUCUCAAAUGAAUCAGCUUGCCGGUUUUUGGUGGGCAUCACAGGUGUGAUAACUAUCUACGCUUGUGGUUUUCCACCAGGGUAACCUUCAGCAGUGGAGGUUCACUGGAGCUUACAAAUGUCUCUCCUCUGUGAGGACAGCCCUUUGAAUGUUUGAUCUCAAAUCAGGUAGGACUACCCGCUGAACUUAAGCAUAUCAAUAAGCGGAGGA